GCUUGUCUCAAAGAUUAAGCCAUGCAUUUUUAAGCAUAAAGAAAUCUAUUCUGUGAAACUGCGAAUGGCUCAUUUAUAUCAGUUAUAGUUUAUUUGAUGGUUCUUGCUACUUGGAUAAUUGUAGUAAUUAUAAAGCUAAUACAUGCAUCAAACCUCGACUUUUUUGGAAGAAGUGUAUUUAUUAGAUGGAAACCAAUGCGGAGCAACCCGGAGAUUCAGGUGAUUCAUAAUAGCUUUCGCAUCGAUCUUCGAAUCGAUGCAUCAUUCAAGUUUCUGCUCCAUCAGCUUUGGAGUAGGGUAUUGGCCUACCAUGGCUUUACGGGUAACGGAGAAUUAGGUUUCGAUUCCGGAGAGGGAGACUGAGAAACGGUUACCACAUCCAAGGAAGGCAGCAGG
rnacentral:rRNA from 1 species